UUAAAUUGAAGAGUUUGAUCAUGGCUCAGAUUGAACGCUGGCGGCAGGCCUAACACAUGCAAGUCGAACGGUGACAG
rnacentral:rRNA from 1 species